CUGGAGACAGGUGCUGCAUGGCUGUCGUCAGCUCGUGUCGUGAGAUGUGGGUUAAGUCCCGCAACGAGCGCAACCCUUGCCUUUAGUUGCCAGCAGUUCGGCUGGGCACUCUAAAGGGACUGCCGGUGUUAAACCGGAGGAAGGUGGGGAUGACGUCAAGUCCUCAUGGCCUUUAUGACCAGGGCUACACACGUACUACAAUGGCCGAUACAAAGGGCAGCGACACUGCGAGGUGAAGCCAAUCCCGUAAAAUCGGUCUCAGUCCGGAUUGGAGUCUGCAACUCGACUCCAUGAAGUUGGAAUCGCUAGUAAUCGUGGAUCAGCAUGCCACGGUGAAUACGUUCCCGGGCCUU
rnacentral:rRNA from 1 species